UGACAGUACUCCUACGGGGAGGCAGCAGUGGGGGAAUAUUGCACAAUGGGCGCAAGCCUGAUGCAGCCAUGCCGCGUGUGUGAAGAAGGACCUUCGGGGUUGUAAAGCACUUUCAGUCGUGAGGAAGGUAGUGUAGUUAAUAGCUGCAGUAUUUGACGUUAGCGACAGAAGAAGCACCGGCUAACUCCGUGCCAGCAGCCGCGGUAAUACGGAGGGUGCGAGCGUUAAUCGGAAUUACUGGGCGUAAAGCGCAUGCAGGUGGUUUGUUAAGUCAGAUGUGAAAGACCCGGGGCUCAACCUCGGAAUAGCAUUUGAAACUGGCAGACUAGAGUACUGUAGAGGGGGGUAGGAAUUUCAGGUGUAGCGGUGAAAUGCGUAGAGAUCUGAAGGAAUACCGGUGGCGAAGGCGGCCCCCUGGACAGAUACUGACACUCAGAUGCGAAAGCGUGGGGAGCAAACAGGAUUAGAUACCCUGGUAG
rnacentral:rRNA from 1 species